rnacentral:rRNA from 1 species
GACGUAGGGGGCCAGCGUUGUUCGGAAUUACUGGGUGUAAAGGGUUCGUAGGCGGUGUGGCAAGUCGGGAGUGAAAUCUCUGGGCUCAACUCAGAGACUGCUUCCGAAACUGCUGUGCUGGAGUGUGGGAGAGGCGCGUGGAAUUGCAGGUGUAGCGGUGAAAUGCGUAGAUAUCUGCAGGAACACCCGUGGCGAAAGCGACGCGCUGGACCACUACUGACGCUGAGGAACGAAAGCUAGGGGAGCAAACAGG